rnacentral:rRNA from 1 species
GAUGAACGCUGGCGGCGUGCCUAAUACAUGCGAGUCGAGCGAACGGACGAGAAGCUUGCUUCUCUGAUGUUAGCGGCGGACGGGUGAGUAACACGUGGAUAACCUACCUAUAAGACUGGGAUAACUUCGGGAAACCGGAGCUAAUACCGGAUAAUAUUUUGAACCGCAUGGUUCAAAAGUGAAAGACGGCCUUGCUGUCACUUAUAGAUGGAUCCGCGCUGCAUUAGCUAGUUGGUAAGGUAACGGCUUACCAAGGCAACGAUGCAUAGCCGACCUGAGAGGGUGAUCGGCCACACUGGAACUGAGACACGGUCCAGACUCCUACGGGAGGCAGCAGUAGGGAAUCUUCCGCAAUGGGCGAAAGCCUGACGGAGCAACGCCGCGUGAGUGAUGAAGGUCUUCGGAUCGUAAAACUCUGUUAUUAGGGAAGAACAUAUGUGUAAGUAACUGUGCACAUCUUGACGGUACCUAAUCAGAAAGCCACGGCUAACUACGUG